rnacentral:rRNA from 1 species
CAAAGGUAGCAUAAUAAUUUGUUUUUUAAUUGGAAACUAGUAUGAAUGGUCAUACGAGGGAUUGACUUUCUUUAUCUUACUUAAAUUAAUUUUAUUUUUCUGUGAAAAAGCAGAGAUUUCAUUAGUAGACGAUAAGACCCUUUAAAACUUUAUUCAUUAUAGAAGUAUAAUUUUGUUAGGUUUUAAUAGUGUACUUUUUUAAUGAGUUUUGUUGGGGCGACAGGUAAAUUUAUUUAACUUUAUUUUUGUUUUUCACUAAUUAGUGUUUAUUUGAUCCAGAUUUAGUUUUGAUUAUAAGUUUAAGUUACUU